GUGGGUAUAGCUCAGGGGUAGAGAGUGUGCCUAGCAUAUGUGAGGUCCUGGGUUCAAUCCCCAGUACCUCCA
rnacentral:tRNA from 1 species